UCCAUCCUUGCAGGUCGAGAAGUCGAAGUCAUCACAGAUAUUCACGAUCACGAUCACGAAGUCCGUACAGGCGGAGACAUGGCGGAAAAUUUAGUCACAGUUAUCGUGGCCACAGACGCAGUCACAGCCGGUCUCCUAUGUCAAGCAGAAGAAGACAUAUUGGAAACAGGGACGACCCAGAGCCGACGCGGUGUUUGGGAGUGUUCGGCUUGAGUCUUCACACACAGGACCGGGAGCUCCGAGACGUGUUUGCCAGAUACGGAUCCAUUGACGAGUGCAACAUUGUGUAUGACAGACAGAGUGGUCGUUCCCGUGGAUUUGCUUUUGUUUACUUCAGGAAUGUUGAUGAUGCUGUUGAGGCCAAGGAUAGGUGUAAUGGUCUGGAGAUAGAUGGGCGGAGAAUUCGAGUUGAUUAUUCCAUCACAGAAAGAGCACAUACCCCCACCCCGGGCAUUUACUUGGGGAAGCCAACAUCGUCCAAGCGCUCAUAUCGGUCUCCCUCACCUCAACACUACAGCUACAGACGACGAUCCCCAUCCCCCUACUACCGCAGGAGGUCUCGAACACGCUCACGAUCAAGGUCCUACAGCCCACGUAUUGAAGAAAGAAACAUGAAGUAUUUGAAGAAUGAAUCUUGAAGAUUUGAGCUCUUUAAAAGAAAAUUGAAUGGGAAAAGAAAGGGGAAAAUGAAUUUUGAAGUUUGGAAAAAGAUGUCUGAAAAAGCUUGAAAAUUGAAGAAAGGGUGUUGAAUAUUGCAGUUUAGGCUCGCCAGAAGAUUAUAAUGAAAAAUGAAGAUUUGGGAAUUGGAGUGGGAGGAAGCUUUGUCGAAUUUGAAGUAUUUAGAAUUGAAGAUGGAGGAAGAGUAGAUUAUUGGCAUGAAAAAACCAAAUUGACCCGACUCAGUGGCUAAUGGUAAGUUGUGUCAUGUUCAACCACUCGUAGGAAAUUGGCUGUCUGGUGUCUUUCGAAAUGACAGAACAAGCCCUCUUUCAGGAGUAAUAGUUAGAUUGUUGGGCUUUAUGUAAUGGUGGCCAGUGUUGUAAUUUACCGUUUCAUUUGUGGUUAGAAGUAAUACAGUACAUAGGUUUGCUGCUGCAGUUUAAUUGUCCUUCAAUAUGGGCUGUUCUCUUUUACAUGGCUAGUUGUCAUUAUUAUUACUAUGUCUAAAAUAAUUACUAAAGCUAUUGAAGGAGGAUACAUGAGGCAUUUGAAGAAUAAAUCUUGAAAAUGAAGUUUGAACUUUGGAAAAAGAUGUCUGGAAAGCUAUUUAUUUUGUGAAGGUGGAAUUUAUUUAUUGUUUAAUAACCUGUUAGACAAACUAAAUCUUAUUUAUAAUCUUUCUGACUGCAUGAAGAAAUUGUAGAAUUAGCUCACAGCUUACUUGAUGUGUAUUGGGUGUGGGUGGAACUGGCAAUGAGGGCAAGAUGUGAGAAUUUUCACCAGGAAAUUGGUAACUUAACAUAAUGUCUGAUUUGAUAAAUAGUUUAUUUCUAACUUUUAUUAUGACAAGAGCAGAGUAAGACUUGUACGAAUUGAUAUGAACUAUUGCUAUAUGAACCAUUUAGGCUACAUGGUGGAGGAACUCAAGUCUAAAAGAUUCCUGGAAAAUAAGUACGGUAAUUUUAUGUGUGGUGUUGGCAUUCCAAUGUGUUUGUGUUUGUCAUUUUCAUGUAGAUUAAUCAGACAUAUUUAUAAAGACUGGAUGCUGUUAGCUUCAGUAUUAGCUAAUUAUUUAUUGUCAAAUGUUUCUCACAAUGGUUUUACUUUGGUUGAACAUGGCACUGAAGGCUAAGGUCACUGGGUAUAAAAUUAUGCAAAGUAAAUUUUAACUAAUUGUUUUCCUUAAAAGUUGAUGAUAAGCUGCUGACAGUAAGUAUCAAGCAACCUGGUGAGUAUUGAGGACUCAAAUAAGCUGAUAACCAGUACUUCACAGUGGGUAUAUUAAAGUUCAUGGUAUGUCCUAACCUGUUUUAGAAAGUACAUGAUGUUAAUCACUGAAUCCCAGAUUUUGGGUCUGAAUUAUGAUCAGAUGGAAUCUCAAAAUAUCUACUUUACAUCUGUUUUACAAUUCUGGCAGAAUCAUGGGUUUUAAUGGAUUUGGGGGUGGGGGGUGGAAGAAAGAUCAAGUGUACUAAAGAAUCUAGAAACUACUGAUGUUGGAAAUUGGAUUGAGUAAAAACGUCACCAUGUCACCACUUUAUAUUGCAACAAUUGGAUCAGUGUGAAUACUGCAGGGAAAGGUUUAAUUAUAAUACUAUGUGGUAAGAAUAGCCUAAAUCUGGGGGUGUAGAUCAGUGUCUAUGCCACUAUGGCACUCGUUUGCUGGAUGAAUGCAAUUAAUCAUAUAUAAUUGCCCGAAUUCUUUUAAUGCUUAUUGGGUUUUGCUUACUGAUAGGGCAUCAUCAGAAAUUGUGUGGUGAAUCCCCAUAAUACACAUUUAACCUUCCCCCCCCCCCCCCCCCAAAAAAAAAAAAAAAACACCCACCCAUUUGGAUCGAAAUGUGUUUGUGGUAUAUAGUGCAGGUUAAAACAAAAGCCAUGUCGUGGUUGUGGGUUCAAGGGUUUGUCCCAGUUUUUAAAUGUCCAACACCAUAUAGCUACGUACUGACUGGGCAAGAUAAAGUGUUAUUCAUCCAUUCUAUUGGUCCUUUUUGAACUGGGGCUCGAAAUCUGAAAAUGGAGGUUAUAUUUGUCGAUCAUUAUCAACAUAUUUUAAUCUCCAAGGUGCAGGACAUUGCAGAUCAAGUGUUGGUGAAUCAGUAAAUAGGGAAUAACUGGUUACUGUCUUAAGAUAUCGGCUUUAUCCUGCCGAGCUGCAUUCACCAGUCAACCUGAGCAGGAUAAAGCCCAUAUCUUAAGACAGUAACCAUUUAUUUCUUUUAUCCUGCAAUCCUACAGGCAUAUUCGGAAAAUCAUUAUUUAUGGCAGUUUUGUGUUCACAAAUCGUAUGACGUCAUACAAGAUACAUGACAUCAUUAUUUGUAAGACGCUAGCUAUCUUCUGUCGCAUUAAAAAAGCGUUUCUAAACUCUUAAUUCAUAAAUAAAUAUGUAUUGUAUUGUUGUCACAAAACUAAAAGUUAUUUGUAUUUACUGUACUUAAACAGCUGAUUUAAAGAGUGUUUAUUGAAAAUCUACUCUGAAAUACUCAAGUUGAGUCGGGCUUACGUCACGUGACCUCUAUUUUUGGUCAGUGAACGAAAAUAUAGGGAUUUAUCUAGUCAUCAUAUCUUGCCAAUGUAUACAGUGAUUGCGGGAUAAAAUGUGUUAUUGACAAUCAAUACUGAGCAUGCUGGUAUGAGAAAGACAUUCCAUCACCUUGAAUUGAAUGAAUGUUUGAAUUAUUGAACUUAGAAAUGUAAUGGCAGUGAUGUUGAGUAGUUAGUAAUGCUUCUUCUGUUCAUCUGCAUUCCAAGGCUAUAACUUGACACGCAAUAACUGAUGUAGUUUUUUGUUGUUAUUCAUUCAAGCUAUAAUAUGUGGAUCUUGAUGUAUUUAGGUCCAGUAGGUCUUAUAAAGACAUGGAGAGCAUAUCUUAAUGGCGAAAUUGCUGAUAGUGCUGUUUUUAUUUCAUUGGAAAUAAGUGCCAGAAAUGUGCUGGGGUGUCAUUAAACAUUCAUUCAUGUAGAUUGAACCCUUUUACAGCCAAAAGUGACGCUGUUAUGUCAUUUAGCUUUUUUCUUUCAAAGUCUCAUUCUGUGAGUGCUGUUUCAAAGGAGUGUUAUGUCCUGCCUGUGAAAUUACAUACCAUGGUUCCUUGUAGUCUGUGACGGGAAGUUUUUCUCUGUACCACUUGGACAAGGUGCAGAAUUAGGGCAUUGUGAUAACUAAUGGAACUGAUUAUCCUGUAUAUUGUGGAGUGUCAUUGCAUAUUAUUCCAGCAAUGAAGUACAUAUCCUUAACAUUUCAGAAUUUAAACACUGUCGUAUUGUCCACCGUAAAAUGUUUUAUUGUAUAGCAUUUGGAAAUCGUUCAUGUCCAGUGACGAGAUGUAGGUCCAGUACAUUUUUACCAGGCAAAUAUUGGAUGGACAGGAGAUGAUGGGACGCAUCAUGCCAUCUCGUCAAGGUAACUGAUGACAAAGAUAUUGUUGUCGUGGAUUUUGGUCUGUUGUGAAGAUACUUUAUGAAGGUGGAUCGUUGGUAUGUUGUGUUCACAGAUCGAGUUGUUGUCAAAACUGACAAUACUAUUGCUGUGAUCUUAAAAAUGCAACUCUUAGUAACAAAUAAAACAUUAAAAUCUA